rnacentral:lncRNA from 1 species
ACUAUACUAACAGCAUGUUUGAUUAUUUCCUAUGGUACAAAAAAUACCCUGCUGAAGGUCCUACAUUCCUGAUAUCUAUAAGUUCCAUUAAGGAUAAAAAUGAAGAUGGAAGAUUCACUGUUUUCUUAAACAAAAGUGCCAAGCACCUCUCUCUGCACAUUGUGCCCUCCCAGCCUGGAGACUCUGCAGUGUACUUCUGUGCAGCAAGCGCACAGUGGUGUGAAUUAUGGUGGUGCUACAAACAAGCUCAUCUUUGGAACUGGCACUCUGCUUGCUGUCCAGCCAAGUACGUAA